UGGUGUUCCUGUCAGGUUAUCGUGCUGC
rnacentral:piRNA from 1 species